CCUACGGGAGGCAGCAGUGAGGAAUAUUGGUCAAUGGGCGCGAGCCUGAACCAGCCAUGUAGCGUGAAGGAUGACUGCCCUACGGGUUGUAAACUUCUUUUAUAAGGGAAUAAAGUGACGCACGUGUGCCUUUUUGUAUGUACUUUAUGAAUAAGGAUCGGCUAACUCCGUGCCAGCAGCCGCGGUAAUACGGAGGAUCCGAGCUUUAUCGGGUUUGAUUGGGUUUAAAGGGAGCGUAGAUGGGUUGUUAAGUCAGUGGUAAAAUGUCGGGGCUAAACCCGGGCCGGCCGUUGAAACUGGGUGUCUGGAGUGGGCGAGAAGUAUGCGGAAUGCGUGGUGUAGCGGUGAAAUGCAUAGAUAUCACGCAGAACUCCGAUUGCGAAGGCAGCAUACCGGCGCCCGACUGACGCUGAGGCACGAAAGCGUGGGGAGCGAACAGGAUUAGAUACCCUAGUAGUC
rnacentral:rRNA from 1 species